AUACUUACCUGGCAGGGGAGAUACCAUGAUCACAAAGGUGGCUUCCCCAGGGCAAAGCUUAUCACACUGCACUCCGGAUGUGCUGACCCCUGCGGUUUCCCUAGAUGUGGGAAACUCGACUGCAUAAUUUGUGGUAGUGGGGAACUCCGUUUGCACUCUCCCCUA